UCUCCGUUGGUGAACCAGCGGAGGGAUCAUUACAGGACUCGCAAGACUCCUACAACCUUGUGAACUUAACUAUAAGCACGUUGCUUCGGCGGGUGUCUCGGAGGGGGUUCUCCCUCCCCGAGACGCUAAACCCGCCGGCAGCCUACUAUACUCUGUCUCUUUGCGUUGGCAUCUCGAGUACAAUCAAACAAGUUAAAACUUUCAACAACGGAUCUCUUGGUUCUG
rnacentral:misc_RNA from 1 species